rnacentral:rRNA from 1 species
AGUAAUGUAUGGGGGACUGCCUGAUGGCGGGGGAUAACUACUGGAAACGGUAGCUAAUACCGCAUAAUGUCUGCGGACCAAAGAGGGGGACCUUCGGGCCUCUUGCCAUCGGAUGUGCCCAGAUGGGAUUAGCUAGUAGGUGGGGUAACGGCUCACCUAGGCGACGAUCCCUAGCUGGUCUGAGAGGAUGACCAGCCACACUGGAACUGAGACACGGUCCAG